rnacentral:rRNA from 1 species
GAAACUUAAAUGAAUUGACGGGGGCCCGCACAAGCGGUGGAGCAUGUGGUUUAAUUCGACGCAACGCGAAGAACCUUACCAGGGCUUGACAUCCUCUGACAACCCAAGAGAUUGGGCGUUCUGCCUUCGGGUAGACGGAGAGACAGGUGGUGCAUGGUUGUCGUCAGCUCGUGUCGUGAGAUGUUGGGUUAAGUCCCGCAACGAGCGCAACCCUUAUCUUUAGUUGCCAUCAGGUAAUGCUGGGCACUCUAGAGAGACUGCCGGUGACAAACCGGAGGAAGGUGGGGAUGACGUCAAAUCAUCAUGCCCCUUAUGUCCUGGGCUACACACGUACUACAAUGGCCGGUACAAAGGGCGGCGAAGGGGUGACCCGGAGCAAAUCCCAACAAAACCGGUCUCAGUUCGGAUUGUAGUCUGCAACCUCGACUACAUGAAGUCGGAAUCGCUAGUAAUCGCAGGUCAGCAUACUGCGGUCGAAUACGUUCCCGGGCCUU